rnacentral:lncRNA from 1 species
GGGAGCUCUGGUCCCUAAACUUUCUCAGAAGGAUAAAUGAGGAAAAGGAAACUGGCAAAUGUUGCCUGACGCGGGGACCAGAGAUGCAGGAGAGGCAGAGUCCCCGUUGGCCUCAGCCGGCCUGCUCUCUGAAGUCACCUGCACAUUCUCCCCUGGCCCUCACCAGCUAACUGUCCGAUUUUGAAAAUGGGCAUUACCUGUCUGAGUCUUGCAAAACAGCCGGGGCGUCCAGCGGGGCUCAAGCCUGCCGUUCCAUGUCGGGGCGAUCACAGUCCAGGAUGAGAUAGAGAACUAGGUUGCAGAGAGCCUGGGCUCAAGCUUCCCAGGCGUCAAGGGAGGCUGCCUGAAGGCGAGGGGCCCGGAGGAGGCGUAGGGAAGACGGUUGCUUCCAGAGCAGCCAGACAGGGCAGCCCCGCCCGUUUUCUCCAACUCCCAGUCCUAGCCAAAGAGGAUGCUAGAAAACUUCUCCGCGCCCAAGGAAGACUUCUAGAGUUCGGCAGCGCUUCUGUGGACUUUAGGGGGAGCUGACCAGGGAGAGGUUUAAAGAGGGCUCCUAAAUCACUGAGCCGCUAUGCUGGAAACCAGGUGCCUCCUUUUGGCUCCGUGGCCAGAGUCUCCUAAGUCUCCUGCCUCUCAGCCUCUUCCUUCUCCAAGACUUUGCUUCGGAGCAGCCUUACUCCAGCCACACCUCGUCUUGGCCAAAGGGUGCACGGUGGGAAGCCGCCGCGUCGGCCCGUGGCCCCUACACCCCUACGAGGCACGCUUGCCCCAGAGGUCCUAUAAGCCCUGGCGGCAGUGCAGGCAGCAGCUCUCUCCAGCUGUUCUCCUGAGGCUACUCCAUCGCUCUGCAUUAGCUGCGGAGAGUGACGCGAGCGAGAGAGCCAAAGACUGAGACAGAGACCGGAAUCGACAGCUAGCAACAGAGCGUUCUGUGCGCGCGGCGAGCCGUGCGGACCCACACCUUGCUUCGGCUUCCGUGACUAUUUGGCCUCGAUCCACUAUCCCCUGGACUUUUAAGGCCGAGACUGUGCACAACUAAAGUUACCGUCCCUGUCUCACUUCUCAUGACAAGUUUAUUAAUUCUUUUUUCCCAUUGACCAUCUCAUAAAAUUUGGCAAAACCCCACCCUGGAAAAUUAUUUCUGCAAUUGGUUAGGUCCGGGGAUCGAGAGAGGUCAGGUGUGGAAGAAAAGGUCCUUUUGGCAGGAACCAAGUUAUCCUCCCAGGUGUUUGGUGUUUAUAGGCGCAGGGUGGUGGGGGGAGGGCUGUAUUUUGAAACAGCGGAAAGAUCUUAGAAUUUCUGCUUCUGUUGUCCUCUUUUCAGAUACAAGCUCAGUCUUCCGAUGGGGACUAGAGAGCCAGUUUUCCCUUGCUCUUUGCUAUAGAGCUCAUAUAAACGUCCUUCUGCCUGAGUGCCUGCCCUGAGCAAUCCGGAUCACCACUUCCAGCCAUCCAGCUGCACCUGCAUUAAUGUUAUUCCGGCUCAACGUAAAGUGCUUCCAAAAAGCUGGGAACUGCAGCAACUCAGGGUGGAAGAACACUGCCUCUUCACAUCUCACCUGCCUAAUGCCUCCACUCUUGCCUUUAGCAUAGCCCAAGCCCUCAUGCCCUGGGCCCUAGCUGAGCAGCUAGGCUGUCUAUAGGUGAGGCCAACUGGCCAAACCAGGAGAGCUCUCAUUUACAUAUGAAGGUGUUAAGGAGCCAGCAGCCAGGACAAAGGGAGCUAACCCAGGGUAGCAGCCAAUAAUAAAUAUCCCUAAGCAAUUUGUCAAGUAAACAAGAGAUUUUAAAGAAAUAACAAGAAACAAACAAACCAAAAAUCACCUAGAAAGCACUGUUCCUGUGGAGCCCUUUUAUCAUCUUUUAUGUCCAAUUCCACCUAACUUCACUCUAACACUCAGUGCCUUUUUGUAUCCAAGUUCUAUGUCUCCUGCCCUAUCAAAACUCACUCUCCCAUGUACCUACCACUCUUUCAGUACUCUUCCUGCUGACGACAAUGUGUCGGUGUUCCAGUCUGAUAAAUACCUAACUAGUCUAGCUAACCUUACUCCCCUGGGUAAUAUCAUCCUUCACCAGAGGCUUUGAGAAGAUUUUCCAAAUUUGAGGAAUUCAGGCACUAUGGCAGAUUUUCUUUAGAUGGAGGAAGGGCUCUUGGUACCCAUCAAAGAGGGCUGCUGUUUGGCCUAUUCAGCAGUUCUGGCUUAUGGUUAAAUGAAGUUAUUGCAAUAGAGUCAAGGAAUAUAGGAAUAAGGAGAUCAAACAGGAACAAAAUGCCAAGAAGAUGGGGAAGGAACCACUGACUUCUCAAAAAUAAUGUCUGGGACCUUGCUCCUCAAAGUGAUAUCCAUAACCAGCAGCAUUGGGGCAUCACCUGGGAGCUUGCUAGAACUGCAGAAUCUUAGAACCCAGCCCUGGAGAAGGCAAUGGCACCCCACUCCAGUACUCUUGCCUGGAAAAUCCCAUGGACAGAGGAGCCUGGUGGGCUGCAGUCCAUGAGGUCGCUAAGAGUCAGACAUGACUGAGCGACUUCACUUUCACUUUUCACUUUCAUGCAUUAGAGAAGGAAAUGGCAACCCACUCCAGUGUUCUUGCCUGGAGAAUCCCAGGGACAGAGGAGCCUGGUAGGAGGCUGUCUAUGGGGCUGUCUACAGAGUCGGACACAACUGAAGCAACUUAGCCGCAGCAGCAGACCCCAGCCCCAGAACUACUGAAUUAGAAACUUCACAAGUUUCUUAACAAGAAACUUAACAAGAUCCUAAGGUGACCGUAAACACAUGCUAACAAUUGAAAAGCAUUUUAAAGAAAACCUUUCAACUCUGCCUCGUCCAGGAGAGGAAAAGGACAGUUAGUGUAAUCACCUAAGGAUCUAAAAAUAGGGUCUGGCACCACCAUUGUCAGAUGAUAAACACCACAGAACAAGGCCAGAAAUGAGGCCCAAUAUAUAUCAAGUUAUAGUUAGCAGCUCUACCUACAGACGGCCUGUUUGCAAAACUGUCCUUAGUUACAUGAAGAAAUAGAUGAGAAUGUGUCAUAGCUUAAAAUAAUUCUAUCACUACCACUGAACAAACAGAUCGAUUCCCAUGUUCCACUAGAGGAGGGUCAGUAUCAUCUAUUAAGAACAGGAUUUUACACAGUUCAGCAAAUUAUGGGUACUCAAUAUAUGCUCGCCGAUUAAUGGUGAGAAGAGCUAAUAACCAUUUAGUGAAGCCAAAAGUGUUUAUGAAAUUAAAAAUUGUGAUAAGUAGCUUUGCAAAAAAAAAUAACCAAAAAAAUAUGCUGAAUUGAAAUGUAUCUCUUCCAAUGGCAAAUUUCAAAGCUACCUAUUAGGAUAAUACAGUGAGACUAGAGAACAAAUAGUUAUUGAGUGUCUGCUCACUUACCAGGUGUCCUACAUACUUGAUCUUAUUUCAUCCAUGUUUCUAGACUUGGAUGAUGGCCCAAAUUACCAGUUUGGCACCUUGUUAAAGAUUCCUGGAACCAUGCCGCAGAUCUAUUAAAUGAGACUCUCAAGGAACGAACUGCCUCAAAAGAGGAGUACCUUUCUAAGCAAAACUUAAAACCCAUGAACCCUAAGAGAAUGAUACAUUUUACUAUGUACUAAUUAAACAGUUCUCCAAAGCGGGGGGAACUACAAUAAGCAAAGUCGAAAGACAAACCAUAAACUAGGAGAAAAAUUGCAACAACCAAAGGGAGAAUUUUAUUACUAUAUAAAGAGCUCUUAGGAAUUAAUUAGAAAAAUAAGCAACCCAACAGAAAAAUAGGCAAAGGACAUGAAUAGGUUCUACAUGUGAAUGGAUAUGUAUGCAUGGGGAAAUAACUGCAAACUAAACCAUAAUGGCAAAGAAUAGGUAUUCCAUAGUAUUGAUACCUAGUGUUGGCAAGUGUGUAAAGAAAUAGAGCCUCUCAUUCACAGUUAGCUGGAGCGUAAAAUAGUGUGACCACUUUGGAGAACAAUAUGUUAAUGUCCAUAAAGACUACUGGCAUGAACUGAAUCACCAUACACAUACUCAUAUAUGAAAAGAUAUUUCAAGAAAUUGGCAACAGUGAUUCUUUUUUGGAAGAAGGGAUCACUGGCAAUGUGAAGUGAGAUUAUGUUUUAUUAUGUUUUACUACGUAUUAGGUGGUACAUUGGAAUUUGUUACACCCUCACCGUUAAAGAAUUAUCCAUUUGCACUCUUUAUCUUGUGACUUUGAGUACCUCCCGUGAGGAAUGUAUUUCCCAAUUCCACUGUGGUUGGCCACAUGACUUGCUAUGAGCAAAGCACUAUGAGCAGACAAUCUUAAUGGCUUGGCUCCUCAUAAUUCUACUUACCAGUAGUCCUGGGUAGUUCCUGGUCCAAAGAGAAUAAGACACACAAACUAAACCUAAAACCAGCCCACAGUGUGAGGCCAAGCCCAGGCAAGCCCAAGAGAGAUGAGGUAAACCCAAGCUGACUUACAAACUUGUGAAUAGGAAGCAGAUGCUUAUUGUAUGACACUGAUACCUUGUGGGGGUUUUCUCAUAAUGCAUUAUUUCAACAAUAACUGACUAAUGAAAUUCCCUUUAUGCUUAGAAAUAUUUAAGCAUAUUUUCCACCUAACGAGGAUUUUUAAAAUCAUAAAUAACUAUCUAUCAUUAGGACAUAAGUUGAAUAAAAUAUGGAACAUCAGUACAUACUUUC